UGGGGAAUAUUGCACAAUGGGGGAAACCCUGAUGCAGCGACGCCGCGUGAACGAAGAAGGUAUUCGUAUCGUAAAGUUCUGUCCUAUGGGAAGAUAAUGACAGUACCAUAGAAGAAAGCUCCGGCUAAAUACGUGCCAGCAGCCGCGGUAAUACGUAUGGAGCGAGCGUUGUCCGGAAUUAUUGGGCGUAAAGGGUACGCAGGCGGUUUAAUAAGUCGAAUGUUAAAGAUCGGGGCUCAACCCCGUAAACCAUUGGAAACUGAUAAACUUGAGUAGUGGAGAGGAAAGUGGAAUUCCUAGUGUAGUGGUGAAAUACGUAGAUAUUAGGAGGAAUACCAGUAGCGAAGGCGACUUUCUGGACACAAACUGACGCUGAGGUACGAAAGCGUGGGGAGCAAACAGG
rnacentral:rRNA from 1 species